GAUGAACGCUGGCGGCAUGCCUAAUACAUGCAAGUCGAGCGAACAGACGAUUAGCUUGCUCCUCUGACGUUAGCGGCGGACGGGUGAGUAACACGUGCAUCACCUACCUAUAAGACUUGGAUAACUUCGUGAAACCUGAUCUAAUACUGGCUAAUAUAUUUAACCGCAUGGUUCAAUAGUGAAAGACGGCUUUGCUGUCACUUAUAGAUGGAUCCGCGCCGCAUUAGCUAGUUGGUAAGGUAACGGCUUAGCAAGGCAACGAUGCGUAGCAGACCUGAGAGGAUGAUCGGCCACACUGGAACUGAGACACGGUACAGACUCCUACGGGAGGCAGCAGUAGGGAAUCUUGCGCAAUGGGCGAAAGACUGACGGAGCAACGCCGCGUGAGUGAUGAAGGUCUUCGGAUCGUAAAACGCUGUUAUUAGGGAAGAAAAAAUGUGUAAGUAACGAUGCAAGUAUUGACGGUACCUAAAGAGAAAGCAACGGCUAACUACGUG
rnacentral:rRNA from 1 species